AUGCCCACCGGCGCCGCCACACGAAGAGGAGAGGCUCCCACAGCAAUGGCCGCUCCUUGCGAGUGGAGCAGGAGCUCCCUUGACUGCAGGAACCACAAAACAGGUUGUGUCAGUGAUGAGGAGGACUCAAGCAACAAGAUUUAUGGUGGACGUGUUGCUACUGCAGUGCAGACUAUUGCAUACCAAAGCAGAAUGACUCAAUCAAUUAGGCAGGCAACGAGUCAAUCAAAAUCAGCUCUCCUGUCGACGAGGAUCAUCUGGAUGGAAGAAUCGUCAGGGCAGACAGACUUGAGCGACUCCACUAAGGGUAUCCGGUUCUCCUCAUGCACGUCGGUGCACAUCGACCACACAAGGGGCCCAUCCCUUGGAUCAAGUAGAACCCAUCCGGUAUCACGUUGUUGUAUGAUAACGAGUCGUUUACCUGGGAAGUGA
rnacentral:rRNA from 1 species